UACGUAGGAGGCGAGCGUUGUCCGGAGUACUGGGCGUAAAGCGCACGCAGGCGGUCCAAUCAGUCUGCAGGGACAGGGCACAGCUUAACUGUGUCAGGCCUGUGGAAACUGUUGGACUUGAGGGCUUCAGAGGGAUGGGGAAUUCCGGGUGGAGUGGUGAAAUGCGUAGAGAUCCGGAAGAACACCAAAGGCGAAGGCACCAUCCUGGGGAGUCACUGACGCUCGGGUGCGAAAGCUAGGGGAGCGAACGGG
rnacentral:rRNA from 1 species